ensembl:ncRNA F10C2.11 ncRNA
AACUAACCUUGACAACUACCAAUUAGGCAAAGUAUGGGUGUGUUCCGGCACACCUGAAACUUUGCUCACCUACGACCAAUCUGACAGCGAGGUUGAGACGAAAGUAUCAGGCGGCCGGAUGGCACAACCUGUGUUGAGGAUGAGAAGUUAUUAGAAUGGUGGCCUCUAGAAGGAACCUGGACUAGAAUAGAAGUCGUUCGUUGGGAUGCACGGAUGAAACAGAGCGCCAUGGGCACAAGAACACGACUGAAGGCGCGCGCGCCGUCGCUCAUACACUCACAUACACAUACACUGAGGGAGAAGGGGAGACACAUUCGACGACCGCUCAUAUUGAGGGUGGAAUAGGAGGACGAGGAGCGACGAAGAAUGAGCGGGGCAAGAGGACGGAUGGAGGAGGCGAGAGGAGGGCGCGCACACAGCCAAAAGGGGCGGGACGACGACUCCUCCCCGCCUCACGUUUCAGCAAGCUCUGGGCUUUAGCUAACAAAUGGUGUCAAUA